CUCACACACCGCGCUGCCGGCGAUGUCAUCUCUACAUAUUUAUAGGGCCUCUAUGGAGAGGGUGUGCAUUAUAGAAACGACGGCAUUUUUCUCCGGAUGACGGGUUACGCGAAUGGGUCCAAACGAUGAGCUACGUGUCCCAGCGCAUGUCUGAUAGCCUGGUUGGCGGAGGCGGCCAUCUUCUGCUGCAACUCCAACUGCGCUGGCCCCACAGACCCCACACCCCGGCCGCUUCUCCACUCUAACUCCUGCUCACCUUGCUUCAGCUCCCCAGCCAGUCCAGAGAGCCACGUGGGUCUAGCGUGGAGCUAACUUCCUACUUUACUGAGUAAAGACUCUCAGCAGAAAACCCAGCUCCCCUGCUAUCGCCGCAACCUCGUAAAACAGGGACCCCGAAACCCCCCGGGGUGGAGGCCGAGGGAACUCAGAACAGAGCGCCGGCCGUCAUGCUGCCUGUUCUCAUCUGUCACUGAUGGCAGAAGAUGUCACCACCAGAGCCCAGAGGUCCCAGGAACUGGGGCUGAUGCCCGGGGUCCCUGGCCGCCUGCCGACGGUGUCCCUGUGGCUGUGCGUGCUCACGGCCCGUGUGGUGCCCCACAGCUGUGUGCACAGUUACAAGGCCUUUGGCAGCAGGAAUGGGCGUCCCUGGGGGAUCUGACACUGAACCCCGACACCGACCCUGGUUUCAUCGUCGUGUCACCAUGAGCACGUUGCAAUUGACAUUCA